rnacentral:lncRNA from 7 species
AGGGAUAAUACUGGAGGUGGUUUCACUUACCAGAGCAAAGAACCAUGCUAGCAAAAGUUGGCAUAAUAUAAAUACCUCAAGGACAAAGAUUUCUCCCCUAAAGAGAAGAGGAAGGGAAGAAGAACACAUAUCCAUAAACUGGUCACAGGCAGCAGGACCACCAGGUCUUCUGACAAUGACCCAUCUGUUUCUUUUUCUCCUUUUUGGAGCCUUAGCUCUCUCUGGCUCAGAAGGUGCUGGCAACUCCACAGCCAGGCAUCGCAAUGCUCGGUUCUUGUUUGAUUUUUUUGGCAGACUUAAUCCUGAACAUAACAUAAUUCCUAACCCAUCUCAACAAGACUCAUCUGCAAGGCAGAUCUGUCGAAGUCGGUGCCAGAAAGGCUGGAUUAGUUACAAAGACCACUGUUACAUGCUUAUUCAAGAGAGAAUGACAUGGCUGGAAGCUGAGAAAACAUGUUCGGCUAAAAGUGCAGGAGGUCACCUAACCAGCAUCACCAGUGCAGAACAGAAUGAAUUCCUUCGUAAGCUUUCUCAGGGACAACAGAAUACCCAGUUCUGGACAGGGGGAACUUACCUAAAGGGUUCAUCGUUGAAAUGGAGUGAUGGAUCUCUGAUAACCUUUGUCCAGAGGCCUCUGUCAUCCAUUUUCCAUGCUGUUGGAGGACUAAUUAACAGCCUGCUUAACAUAAAACUUUGCCUGAUGGUCAAUAUCGGAGGAGGGGCUCAGUGGGACAGCUCCCCCUGCGGUCAGAAGCUGCCAUUCAUCUGCACUUACAAACCAAGCCUGGUCCAACUGUCACUGAACCACUGAUCAAACCUGACUGGUUGCCACGGCAUUUGGAAUUGAGUUCACCUGAAAUACAUUAGUGCAGAAAAAUCUUUUGCAUGGAAAAAUCAAGGUCUUAUACGAAAAAAAGAAGAGGUAUUGUAGCAAGUGACAUUUCUGUCCUGUUUGCAUUAUUGUGGUGAUUUUCCUGCAGACUAUCUUUAUAAUGAUCUUAUUAAAAUAAAUUCCGAUUUUAUUUGAAUGCUUG